CCUACGGGUGGCAGCAGUGAGGAAUAUUGGUCAAUGGACGAGAGUCUGAACCAGCCAAGUCGCGUGAAGGAUGACUGUCCUAUGGGUUGUAAACCUCUUUUAUAUGGGAACAAAAUCACCCACGUGUGGGUUUUUGUGUGUACCUUAUGAAUAAGCAUCGGCUAACUCCGUGCCAGCAGCCGCGGUAAUACGGAGGAUCCGAGCGUUAUCCGGAUUUAUUGGGUUUAAAGGGUGCGUAGGUGGGUUGUUAAGUCAGCUGUGAAAUUUUGCGGCUCAACCGUAACACAGCAGUUGAAACUGAUGAUCUUGAGUGGGGGAGAAGUAGGCGGAAUGCGUGGUGUAGCGGUGAAAUGCAUAGAUAUCACGAAGAACUCCGAUUGCGAAGGCAGCACACUGGAGUGCGACUGACGCUGAAGCACGAAAGUGUGGGUAUCGAACAGGAUUAGAUACCCGGGUAGUC
rnacentral:rRNA from 1 species